rnacentral:rRNA from 1 species
UACAGAGGGUGCAAGCGUUGCUCGGAAUCAUUGGGCGUAAAGGGUAGGUAGGUGGUCUCAUUUGUCUGGGGUGAAAGCCCAGGGCUUAACCCUGGAAGUGCCCCGGAAACGGUGAGACUGGAGUCCUGGAGAGGGUCGUGGAAUUCCCGGUGUAGCGGUGAAAUGCGUAGAGAUCGGGAGGAACACCAGAGGCGAAGGCGGCGACCUGGACAGGUACUGACGCUGAGGAGCGAAAGCCAGGGGAGCGAACAGG